AACGAACGCUGGCGGCAUGCCUAACACAUGCAAGUCGAACGAAGUCUUCGGACUUAGUGGCGCACGGGUGCGUAACGCGUGGGAAUCUGCCCUUGGGUGCGGAAUAACUUCUCGAAAGGGAUGCUAAUACCGCAUAAUGUCGUAAGACCAAAGAUUUAUCGCCCAAGGAUGAGCCCGCGUAAGAUUAGCUAGUUGGUGGGGUAAAAGCCUACCAAGGCGACGAUCUUUAGCUGGUCUGAGAGGAUGAUCAGCCACACUGGGACUGAGACACGGCCCAGACUCCUACGGGAGGCAGCAGUGGGGGAAUAUUGGACAAUGGGCGAAAGCCUGAUCCAGCAAUGCCGCGUGAGUGAUGAAGGCCCUAGGGUUGUAAAGCUCUUUACCAGGGAUGAUAAUGACAGUACCUGGAGAAUAAGCUCCGGCUAACUCCGUGCCAGCAGCCGCGGUAAU
rnacentral:rRNA from 1 species